GCACAAUUUCUUUUUCGGUAAUCCAUCUUCCGAUCCUGGAGGGAUGAUGCUGCUCAAGUCGAGAUCUGGACACAACUCUCCGACCACCUCACUUGGCCGACCACAUCAACAACCUAAUCCACUCAUGCGGGAACAGAGAGGGUCUCACCUGGCCAGCAGUCCAACCCACUCAUACGGGAACAAAGAAGGGCUUCAGAUCUUCGUCCACCAUCAUUAGCAUCCUUGGUUGCGAGCUUAGACGAGGAUAUAAAGCACAUAAUGGUAGCUCGUUCACUCGACCAUUGGCACCAGGUGCGAAGAGCUGAUAUUGCUUUGAGAUACAAUACUGUUUUCGAAGUC
rnacentral:lncRNA from 1 species